AAUAAAAAUGAGAAUAAAAAAUGAAGCGUGAAAUUGAAAUUUAACCCAAAAUAGAAUAAAACUUCACCCAAAAAGUAGAUAUUUUGUCAACACUCCAACUCUCAAAGUCCAUUUCCAAUUCAUUUCUCUACUUUUCCAAAUGAAAAUACGAAACAUUUUAACAAAAACAUUUCCACGAUAACAACAUCAGCCAAGUAACCAACAUGAAUUGAACAAAUGAAUGUAAUAAACAAAGCAUAAUUAUUAGUAUUGGUACAACAAAUGAAGUCAUUAUGAAAAUUGGUUCAAACUUGAUUUAAAAAGCACAAACUUGAGAAAUUUCAUAUUUUGAAACAUUUCAAACUAAGCAUAUAACACAACAGAGAAAGAUAAUAUGUAAUUCAUUUGCAAAAAAUUAAAAAAAUUAUUAUUUCAUUAAAAAGUUAGAGUUCCACAAUGUAUGACAAGAAAGAGUUACCUUAAUAAACUUGAAUGUAAACACUAGAUAAUACAGUUAUCAACGUAAGCACCUAGUCAGAUAUACUUAUUCCACGAAAUCAUGUGAAAAUGCUCUCUCUCUCUCUCUCUCUCUCUCUCCGUUAAAAAGAGAACAGUAAAAAUGAGAAUAAAAAAUGAAGCGUGAAAUUGAAAUUUAACCCAAAAUAGAAUAAAACUUCACCCAAAAAGUAGAUAUUUUGAAAGCGGAUAUUUUGUCAACACUCCAACUCUCAA
rnacentral:lncRNA from 1 species